CUUGUCGGUGGCCGAGGCCAAGGCGGCGGCGAUCGCGCGCAUCGCCGAGCUGGGCCUGGGCGAGGGCGUGGUGCAGUUCCGCCUGCGCGACUGGG
rnacentral:tRNA from 1 species